rnacentral:rRNA from 1 species
AUACGAGGGGUGCAAGCGUUAAUCGGAAUUACUGGGCGUAAAGCGUUCGUAGGCGGUUUGUUAAGCAAGAUGUGAAAGCCCUGGGCUCAACCUGGGAACUGCAUUUUGAACUGGCAAGCUAGAAUACUGUAGAGGGUGGUGGAAUUUCCAGUGUAGCGGUGAAAUGCGUAGAGAUUGGAAGGAACAUCAGUGGCGAAGGCGGCCACCUGGACAGAUAUUGACGCUGGGGAACGAAAGCGUGGGGAGCGAACAGGAUUAGAAACCCCAGUAGUCC